rnacentral:lncRNA from 1 species
AAAAUUUUAAAUAACAUCGAAAGUUCAAGGUCUGAACAUCAAAAUAAAAUAUAAGCUCCGUAAUAACAUCCAAAACAACAAAAAAUAGCAACAGAGACAUCCAAAGUCCAAAGUUCAAAUUAACAUCCAAAAUAACAUAAAAUGAAAUCCAUAAUAACAUCCAAAUUAACAUUCGAAAUGACUUCCAAUAUUCUGGUGAUUUAUGGUAGAAAGACGACACCCUUCCUUGUGACCUCUCGCUAACUACAAUUGAGGAAGAAACAUAUCAGAUCAUCAUAAAUGAGAGAUUAGAAGCAUGACAUAAUCAGUAAUUGCAUGAAAUAUAAUACAUGAUUAGUAUAAUAAAUUUCAUAAACAUAAAGAAAGCCAACAAACUUUUCAUUAUUGGCUUUGCUCAAUAAUCUAGUCAGUUCCGAUUCGGCAUUGAAAAUCGAAACUAAUAAUGGAUAUCAAAUAAUCUUCACUAUUGCUUUGACUUAAAAGCAUCAAGAUUGUAGCUUCAAUUACCAAUUUUAGUUCAAAAAUCAAUAUCUUCAAAAAAUUGUUACAAAGUUAAAUACAAAACAACUUAAAAUCUACAAUCUAUAAGCAGAUCCAUAAAAUUCAUAACCAAUCUAAAAGUUUCAACAAGUAAUCAAAUCACAUUAGUCCAUAUAAUGAAUCGAAAAGCUUAUGCAAUCACAGCCCAAAAAAAAUUAAUUUCCCAAAUCAGAAACCCACGUAAUUACUAAAUCAAUUGAAAAGCUUAUGCAAAAAAUCCUAAAUUCCUAAAUUAGAUAGCCUAAUUCAUAAAUUACCUAAAUUACCUAGGGAUUUGCAGGAUGAUGAUGGUGUUCUCAACGACGAGGAUGGUGUGGUGGUGGCCGGAACUUGCGAUUGGGAAGACCAGAGGAGAUUCAGAAGACGAUGCCACGAUGGUGAUGGUGGCUAGUUGUUGUGAUGUCGACACAAACGAGGUCGACUCAGUCACUAUGAGUCUCAGGGAGUCGAGUCGAGUAGGGGUGGGAGGGAGAACGAGAAAGUGAUGAGAGUCGAUGGACUAAGAUGGGCGCCUUAUCAAGGUCUGAGACGAGAUAGGAGAGGAGAUUCAAGGAGUAGGAAAGUCUGAGUGCGAUCAAGGUCUGAGAGACAAACGCUGUUAUAUGUUUUAAUGCAGAGAUUUAAUUAACGGACCAUGUUAAAUCACAGAUUUUGGACGGUGGAAACUGUCCAGGUCGGGGACCUGUUUCCUCAGCAAUUAGGAUCCGCCCCGUCUCGCCCCUCACCGUUUCAGAUUUUUUUUAAAAAUUGGACCCACCCCUACUCGUUGGUCCAAGCCUCAUUUUCUCAUCCCUACAGUAGAUGACUGGUAGGCUGGAGCCAAAAUAGGUGACACGACAACAUAAGUUGCCUGAUAGUGGGCAUCACCGCAGCUCGAGCAGGGUCGAGGUGCGAGAAAUUUUAUGUUACAUAAAAUUCAAAAAGUGAAUGCGAGAGCCUUUUUUGUAGUGUUAAAUCAGGCUCUAAAUGAAAGCACCAUUUUGUGGUAUCAACAAUUUGUCGUCUCCAGUUUUGACGAACUUGUACCUAUAAAAGGCAAUGCCUCACGCGCUCAUAAGGUCGGGGGGAGGGGGGCUAAUGAACCUCCGAUGCCUAAGUCAGUUUCUUUGAAAAGAGUGUCUAUUUAGGGUUUAAUUGCAUGGCAAAAGCUUACCAAGAAUUGGUGGAGA